rnacentral:rRNA from 1 species
GGAUAGCCACUGGAAAUGGUGGGUAAUACCGUAUAAUCCCCGCGGGGGAAAGAUUUAUCGCUAUUAGAUGAGCCUAUGUCGGAUUAGCUAGUUGGUGGGGUAAUGGCCUACCAAGGCAGUGAUCUGUAGCUGGUCUGAGAGGAUGAUCAGCCACACUGGAACUGAGACACGGUCCAGACUCCUACGGGAGGCAGCAGUGGGGAAUAUUGGGCAAUGGGCGCAAGCCUGAUCCAGCUAUGCCGCGUGAGUGAGGAAGGCCUUAGGGUUGUAAAACUCUUUCAGUAGGGAAGAUAAUG